CGUCGGCAGGCGGGCCCCAGUGCCAGGUGGGGUUUGGUCCUCCCCGGGAGCCGUAGGCGGUGCAUCUUGCUCCCGCCUGGGGCAAAGAUCCUCCCUCGCCCAAGGUGGCGGUGGGAGUUGAGGGGAUCUACUGCAGCGUCAGUCUCCUCUAAAUUUCCGCGCCCCCGGGACCAUGGCUACGCUGGCGGGUAAGGAAGGGCUACGCCGCCCCAUCCUGCCGAUAUCUCUGAAGCCUGGGCCCAAGGCGCCUGAGGGUAACCAGCAACCUCGGGGGGGGGGGGGGUCG
rnacentral:lncRNA from 1 species